GAUGAACGCUGGCGGCGUGCCUAAUACAUGCAAGUCGAGCGAACGGACGAGAAGCUUGCUUUUCUGAUGUUAGCGGCGGACGGGUGAGUCACACGUGGAUAACCUACCUAUAAGACUGGGAUAACUUCGGGAAACCGGAGCUAAUACCGGAUAAUCUUUUGAACCGCAUGGUUCAAAAGUGAAAGACGGUCUUUCUGUCACUUAUAGCUGGAUCCGCGCUGCAUUAGCUAGUUGGUAAGGUAACGGCUUACCAAGGCAACGAUGCAUAGCCGACCUGAGAGGGGGAUCGGCCACACUGGAACUGAGCCACGGUCAAGACGCCUACGGGAGGCAGCAGUAGGGAAUCUUCCGCAAUGGGCGAAAGCCUGACGGAGCAACGCCGAGUGAGUUAUGAAGGUCUUCGGAUCGUAAAACUCUGUUAUUAGGGAAGAACAUAUGUGUAAGGAACUGUGCACAGAUUGACGGUACCUAGUCAGAAAGCCACGGCUAACUACGUG
rnacentral:rRNA from 1 species